AUCUAACUGACGAGCCAUAAAUAGGACGAAACACGCGUUCUGGAU
rnacentral:hammerhead_ribozyme from 1 species